UUACGGCCAUAGCACAUUGAAACACCUGUUCUCAUACGAUCAUCGAAGUUAAGCAACGUGGAGCUUGGUCGGAAACUCGAUGGGUGACCGCUUGAGAAUACCAGGAAC